rnacentral:tRNA from 1 species
AGCAUAAAAAAAUUUAUGUUUCGGCCAUAAAAUAGAUACAAAGGUAUCUUAUGCUU